UGAGGUAACCAGUAGUAAUGAACCGUGAGGCUUAACCUAACAACACCGAAG
rnacentral:rRNA from 1 species